UAAUUUUGGCCCAGCUUUCUAAUCUAUUGAGGUCAUUUUGAAUUUUGAUCCUGUCCUCUGGAGUAUUAGCUACUCCUCCUAGUUUGGUGUCAUCUGCAAAUUUGAUAAACCUGUCCUCUAUUCCAUUAUAUGUCUUUACAGCUCUUCCUAUCUCAUUCUUCCUCAUGUUUUGCUCUUUUAAUGGAGACAGGGAUGCAUCUCCAAGAAAUGGGUCAGUUCUUCCAUUGGUUUAAUCUGUCGUUUCUGCCUGUUUGAGCCUCCACUUUUGUUUCAGAGGGACACCAACUCUUUCCUUCUCACCUUCUUUUCUCUGACGCUCUUCCUCUUUUGCUUUUUGGUCUUUGCCUUUCUGAAAGUGUGUGUGCUUUUGCAUAAAACUCUUCUUGUGGCUCACGGAGCUUUGCAGCGGCAACAGAGGUUUGGGGUGUGAACUGAUGGCCUAUUUUUGCCUGUGAAGGAACUACACUUCUGUGACACAAAGGACUCCCAAGAGCAAAGUGAAGAAAGGGAGAAAAAGGGGUGAACAAUGGCGAUGCCUCCUCUCCAAGGCUUUCUGGUGCUCCAUCUGAUGGGACUUUUCACAGGAGGAAAAUAUCAGGUCUUCUGUGUCACAGACGUGUCCCUUGACAUGGCCCCC